UACGUAGGGCCCGAGCGUUGUCCGGAUUUAUUGGGCGUAAAGCGAGCGCGGGCCGUUAGUUAAGUCUGAAGUUAAAGGCUGUGGCUUAACCAUAGUACGCUUUGGAAACUGGUUAACGUGAGUGCAAGAGGGGAGAGUGGAAUUCCAUGUGUAGCGGUGAAAUGCGUAGAUAUAUGGAGGAACUCCGGUGGCGAAAGCGGCUCUCUGGCUUGUAACUGACGCUGAGGCUCGAAAGCGCGGGGAGCAAACAGG
rnacentral:rRNA from 1 species